CCUACGGGCGGCAGCAGUGAGGAAUAUUGGUCAAUGGGCGAGAGCCUGAACCAGCCAAGUCGCGUGAGGGAGUACUGCCCUAUGGGUUGUAAACCUCUUUUGUCGGGGAGCAAAAGCCGGACGUGUCCGGCUGUGAGAGUACCCGAAGAAAAAGCAUCGGCUAACUCCGUGCCAGCAGCCGCGGUAAUACGGAGGAUGCGAGCGUUAUCCGGAUGUAUUGGGGUUAAAGGGUGCGCAGGCGGAUUUUUAAGUCAGCGGUCAAAUCGUGGGGCUCAACCCCAUCCAGCCGUUGAAACUGGGGAUCUAGAGUGUGCGAGAGGAAUGCGGAAUGCGUGGUGUAGCGGUGAAAUGCAUGGAUAUCACGCAGAACCCCGAUUGCGAGGGCAGCAUACCGGUGCACAACUGACGCUCAGGCACGAAAGCGUGGGUAUCGAACAGGAUUAGAUACCCUUGUAGU
rnacentral:rRNA from 1 species